UAUUGAAAACUCCGGUGGAUAGAGAUGGGCACGCGCAAGAUUAGAUAGUUGGUGAGGUAACGGCUCACCAAGUCAAUGAUCUUUAGGGGUCCUGAGAGGGAGAUCCCCCACACUGGUACUGAGACACGGACCAGACUCCUACGGGAGGCAGCAGUGAGGAAUAUUGGACAAUGGGUGAAAGCCUGAUCCAGCCAUCCCGCGUGAAGGAUGACGGUCCUAUGGAUUGUAAACUUCUUUUAUACAGGGAUAAACCUAGAUACGUGUAUCUAGCUGAAGGUACUGUAUGAAUAAGCACCGGCUAACUCCGUGCCAGCAGCCGCGAAAUACGGAGGGGCAAGCGUUAUCCGGAUUUAUUGGGUUUAAAGGGUCCGUAGGCGGACUCGUAAGUCAGUGGUGAAAUCUCAUAGCUUAACUAUGAAACUGCCAUUGAUACUGCGGGUCUUGAGUAAAGUAGAAGUGGCUGGAAUAAGUAGUGUAGCGGUGAAAUGCAUAGAUAUUACUUAGAACACCAAUUGCGAAGGCAGGUCACUAUGUUUUAACUGACGCUGAUGGACGAUAGCGUGCGUAGCGAACAGGAUUAGAUACCCUGGUAGUCCACGCCGUAAACGAUGCUAACUCGUUGUUGGAUUUUCGGAUUCAGAGAACCAAGCGAAGUGAUAAGGUAGCCACCUGUGGAGUACGUUCGCAAGACAUGACACUCAAGGAAUUGACAGGGGCUCGCACAAGCGGUGGAAUAUGUGGGUUAAUUCGAUGAUACGUCGAGAACCUUACCAAGACUUUAACUGGAAUGACAGGUUUAGAAUAGACCCUUCUCGGACAUUUUUCAGGUGCUGCAAUGGUGUCGUCAGCUCGUGGCCGGAGGUGUUAGGUUAAGUCCCUGCACGAGCGCAACCCCUGUUA
rnacentral:rRNA from 1 species